rnacentral:rRNA from 1 species
GAUGAACGCUAGCGGCAGGCCUAACACAUGCAAGUCGAGGGGUAACAUAAGGUGCUUGCACUUUGAUGACGACCGGCGCACGGGUGCGCAACGCGUAUGGAACCUGCCCUUUGCAGGGGAAUAGCCCAGAGAAAUUUGGAUUAAUGCCCCAUAGUACCCUUAUAUGACAUCGUAUUGGGGUUAAAGGCUCCGGCCGGCAAAGGAUGGCCAUGCGUACCAUUAGCUGGUUGGUAAGGUAACGGCUUACCAAGGCAACGAUGGUUAGGGGCCCUGAGAGGGGGAUCCCCCACACUGGUACUGAGACACGGACCAGACUCCUACGGGAGGCAGCAGUGAGGAAUAUUGGACAAUGGGCGGGAGCCUGAUCCAGCCAUGCCGCGUGCAGGAAGAAUGCCCUAUGGGUAGUAAACUGCUUUUAUACGGGAAGAAACCGCGCUACGUGUAGCGCGCUGACGGUACCGUAAGAAUAAGGACCGGCUAACUCCG